rnacentral:rRNA from 1 species
UACGGGGGUGGCGAGCGUUACUCGGAUUCAUUGGGUGUAAAGGGCAGGUAGGCUGUUAUGUAAGUUGGAGGUGAAAUCCUAAGGCUCAACCUUAGAACUGCCUUCAAGACUGCAUAGCUUGAGAUCAGAAGAGGAGAGCGGAAUUCCCGGUGUAAGGGUGAAAUCUGUAGAUAUCGGGAGGAACACCAGUGGCGAAGGCGGCUCUCUGGUCUGAUUCUGACGCUGAGCUGCGAAAGCUCGGGGAGCAAACAGG